rnacentral:rRNA from 1 species
UACGUAGGGUGCAAGCGUUGUCCGGAAUUAUUGGGCGUAAAGAGCUCGUAGGCGGUUUGUCGCGUCUGGUGUGAAAAUCCAGGGCUUAACCCUGGACCUGCAUCGGGUACGGGCAGACUAGAGUGCGGUAGGGGAGAUCGGAAUUCCUGGUGUAGCGGUGAAAUGCGCAGAUAUCAGGAGGAACACCGGUGGCGAAGGCGGAUCUCUGGGCCGUAACUGACGCUGAGGUGCGAAAGCGUGGGGAGCAAACAGG